GAAAAGAAACCAACAGGGAUUGCCUUAGUAGCGGCGAGUGAAGCGGCAAAAGCUCAAAUUUGAAAUCUGGCACUUUCAGUGUCCGAGUUGUAAUUUGAAGAAGGUAUCUUUGGGUCUGGCUCUUGUCUAUGUUUCUUGGAACAGAACGUCACAGAGGGUGAGAAUCCCGUGCGAUGAGAUGUCCCAGACCUAUGUAAAGUUCCUUCGAAGAGUCGAGUUGUUUGGGAAUGCAGCUCUAAGUGGGUGGUAAAUUCCAUCUAAAGCUAAAUAUUGGCGAGAGACCGAUAGCGAACAAGUACAGUGAUGGAAAGAUGAAAAGAACUUUGAAAAGAGAGUGAAAAAGUACGUGAAAUUGUUGAAAGGGAAGGGCUUGAGAUCAGACUUGGUAUUUUGUAUGUUACUCUCUCGGGGGUGGCCUCUACAGUUUACCGGGCCAGCAUCAGUUUGAGCGGUAGGAUAAGUGCAAAGAAAUGUGGCACUGCUUCGGUAGUGUGUUAUAGUCUUUGUCGAUACUGCCAGCUUAGACUGAGGACUGCGGCUUCGGCCUAGGAUGUUGGCAUAAUGAUCUUAAGUCGCCCG
rnacentral:rRNA from 1 species